AAUAAAUACUGAUUGGGUGAUUGGAUUUGUUGGCUUGAUUGAUUGAGGACUCUGGCCUGAGAACCUCAGAGGCUGGUUUGGAAUCCCAUCCUCACUCCUAGGAACGAUAACAUUGAUCUGAGAGUAAGACAUUGAGCUGAGACCAGAAUGUCAAGAGCCCAGCCAUGCUACAAGUAGUGGAAGAUCAUUCAAGGAAGAGGGAGCAGCAAUUGCAAACACCAUGAGAUAGAGGUUUCUAAGGACUGGUGGCUGUGCUGCACAGCCUGGCUCCACUCCUCCCAGCCCUGAUUCCAUAAGUUGGAUGAAGCCAGGAGUACCUCUCCUUCUGGAUACUUUACCUACCUGAGUUUUGAGAAAGACUGGAUCCAAAACUCUGGGAAGAAUCACAAGGGUGUAAGUCCUUUUUGUUGACAGAAGGACCAGAUUACUUGAUAAGUUGAUGACUUGACCCCAUUCUUAUUCUUCAUAUUAGAUUUGAUUACAUUACAAAAGUAUCCUGUACUUACUGUUAGAACUGACAGCCAACAUUUAUGAAAGUUUUCCACCCCAUAAACACAGUGAUUAACAAAGAAUUCUUAGGACAAUCCUGAGGUAGGUACUGUCCAUUACCCAUUUUACAAAUGAAGAAACUGAGGGUGGAGGUUGCUCAAUUGGAAUGGAACUGAGGACCCAGGUACUUCACACCCCUUACCCUGCUCAGCCCCCAGGUAAACAGUGUAAGCAUUUAUAGCCAACCAUUUUUCAUUUCUUUAUCUUUUCUGUCUACAAAUG